rnacentral:rRNA from 1 species
AACGAACGCUGAUGGCGUGCCUCAUACAUGCAAGUCGAGCGGGGUCUUCGGACCUAGCGGCGAACGGGUGAGUAACACGUAAAUAAUUUUCCCUUGAGUUGGGGACAACCAUCCUAACGGGUGGCUAAUACCGAAUAUUGUUGGAGACCGCAUGGUUUCCGUACGAAAGGUGCUUUUGUAUCGCUCGAGGAUAAAUUUGCGUCCCAUUAGUUUGUUGGCGGGGUAACGGCCCACCAAGACAUCGAUGGGUAGCCGGCCUGAGAGGGUGAACGGCCACAUUGGGACUGAGAUACGGCCCAG